AAUGAACGCUGGCGGCAUGCCUAACACAUGCAAGUCGAACGAAGGCUUCGGCCUUAGUGGCGCACGGGUGCGUAACGCGUGGGAAUCUGCCCUCAGGUUCGGAAUAACAGCGAGAAAUUGCUGCUAAUACCGGAUGAUAUCGCGAGAUCAAAGAUUUAUCGCCUGAGGAUGAGCCCGCGUAGGAUUAGCUAGUUGGUGUGGUAAAGGCGCACCAAGGCGACGAUCCUUAGCUGGUCUGAGAGGAUGAUCAGCCACACUGGGACUGAGACACGGCCCAGACUCCUACGGGAGGCAGCAGUGGGGAAUAUUGGACAAUGGGCGAAAGCCUGAUCCAGCAAUGCCGCGUGAGUGAUGAAGGCCUUAGGGUUGUAAGGCUCUUUUACCCGGGAUGAUAAUUACAGUACCGGGAGAAUAAGCUCCGGCUAACUCCGUGCCAGCCGCCGCGGUAA
rnacentral:rRNA from 1 species